rnacentral:tRNA from 6 species
UCCUCAGUAGCUCAGGGGUAGAGCGAUCGGCUGUUAACCGAUUUGUCGUAGGUUCAAAUCCUACCUGGGGAG